rnacentral:rRNA from 1 species
UGCAUAUCAAAAGCGGAGGAAAAGAAACCAACAGGGAUUGCCUUAGUAGCGGCGAGUGAAGCGGCAAUAGCUCAAAUUUGAAAUCUGGCGCCUUCGGUGUCCGAGUUGUAAUUUGAAGAAGGUAUCUUUGGUUUUGGCUCUUGUCUAUGUUUCUUGGAACAGGACGUCAUAGAGGGUGAGAAUCCCGUCUGAUGAGAUGCCCAAUUCCAUGUAAAGUUCCUUCGACGAGUCGAGUUGUUUGGGAAUGCAGCUCUAAGUGGGUGGUAAAUUCCAUCUAAAGCUAAAUAUUGGCGAGAGACCGAUAGCGAACAAGUACUGUGAAGGAAAGAUGAAAAGAACUUUGAAAAGAGAGUGAAAAAGUACGUGAAAUUGUUGAAAGGGAAGGGUUUAAGGUCAGACUUGGUUUACCAGGCCAGCAUCGGUUUAGAUGGCAGGAUAAUGGCGUAGGAAUGUGGCUUUGCUUCGGUAAAGUGUUAUAGCCUGCGUUGAUACUGCCUAUUUAGACCGAGGACUGCGUCUUUGACAAGGAUGCUGGCAUAAUGGCCUUAAGCCACCCGUCUUGAAACACGG